rnacentral:rRNA from 1 species
AGAGUUUGAUCCUGGCUCAGGACGAACGCUGGCGGCGUGCUUAACACAUGCAAGUCGAACGAGAGCGUAGAGAAAGCUUGCUUUUUCUACAAUCUAGUGGCAAACGGGUGAGUAACGCGUAAACAACCUGCCCUACGGAUGGGGACAACAGCUGGAAACGGCUGCUAAUACCGAAUACGUUCCGAAAGUCGCAUGACUAUCGGAAGAAAGGAUGGCCUCUAUUUAUAAGCUAUCGCCGGAGGAGGGGUUUGCGUCUGAUUAGCUAGUUGGAGGGGUAACGGCCCACCAAGGCGACGAUCAGUAGCCGGUCUGAGAGGAUGAACGGCCACAUUGGAACUGAGACACGGUCCAGACUCCUACGGGAGGCAGCAGUGGGGAAUCUUCCGCAAUGGGCGAAAGCCUGACGGAGCAACGCCGCGUGAGUGAAGACGGCCUUCGGGUUGUAAAGCUCUGUUAUACGGGACGAAUAAUCUUGUGGUUAAUACCCAUGAGAAGUGACGGUACCGUAAGAGAAAGCCACGGCUAACUACGUGCCAGCAGCCGCGGUAAUACGUAGGUGGCAAGCGUUGUCCGGAAUUAUUGGGCGUAAAGGGCGCGCAGGCGGCUUCUUAAGUCUGUCUUAAAAGUGCGGGGCUUAACCCCGUGAUGGGAUGGAAACUGGGAAGCUCAGAGUAUCGGAGAGGAAAGCGGAAUUCCUAGUGUAGCGGUGAAAUGCGUAGAUAUUAGGAGGAACACCAGUGGCGAAAGCGGCUUUCUGGACGAAAACUGACGCUGAGGCGCGAAAGCCAGGGGAGCGAACGGGAUUAGAUACCCCGGUAGUCCUGGCCGUAAACGAUGGGUACUAGGUGUAGGAGGUAUCGACCCCUUCUGUGCCGGAGUUAACGCAAUAAGUACCCCGCCUGGGGAGUACG